ACGGAGGGUGCAAGCGUUAAUCGGAAUUACUGGGCUUAAAGCGCGCGUAGGCGGUUUGUUAAGUCGGAUGUGAAAGCCCUGGGCUCAACCCGGGAACUGCAUUCGAUACUGGCCGACUAGAGUAUAAGAGAGGGAGGUAGAAUUCCAUGUGUAGCGGUGAAAUGCGUAGAUAUGUGGAGGAAUACCAGUGGCGAAGGCGGCCUCCUGGCUUAAUACUGACGCUGAGGUGCGAAAGCGUGGGGAGCAAACAGG
rnacentral:rRNA from 1 species